CUGCCAACCGUCCUAGCCCUCUGCAUCCCUCGAUCUCCGCGGCCCCGCCCACGACACUCUAAUCUACGCAACGAUUGCACGAUAGCUAUCCCGCUAUUUUCUCUGCUCCAGAUCCAUCGUCUUCCCAAUAGCUCUGCCCCCGCGGUCCCCUCCGCCCUGCCCUACAGCCGCCGAGCUCCCGUGCCGCCCCCACGCGUGCCGCGCUCUCCCGUCGUCAUGCUACAGGCCCUCCUAUAAUGGAUCCACAGGCGGGGGGCCUAUCCUCCGGCGUCGGAGGGGGCGGCGGCCUGAAGAACGACGAGUCAGUCCAUGGAGAGCGCACACCUGUCGCUGCAGAUGAAUAAGCAGUGUACUCGCCGCCGCCGCCGCCAAGUGAGAGGCUCCUGCUUCCGGAGGCGAGGAGCUUGUCGAGGUCCAACUCCUCAAGGAGAGGCGCACUCCACAUGUUCGUCGGGCUGCCCCGCCCACCCCAUGGCUACCUGCUCGCCGCUGUGCCCACCGACCCCAUGCACUACUAGCCUGUUGUAACCCUCCGCCAUGGGCAUCAGCGCGUGACGUGGUAGCUGCAGCAAGCAUUUUCUGACCUCUUAAGUGUUUGUUAUAAUGCCUACAGGAAGUCAAGCAAAAAAUUAUUUCAAGUUUGUACCGAUGUUUAUGAUAGUUGGAGAUUAUGGGUAAAAUAUAUUUUCUUGCUGGCUAAUGAUUGUAUCCAUUUGUUGUGUGGGAAUUUUGUUAUAGCAAAAGCUGAAUACAUGUUCGUCGGCUGUCUGUCGUCUCCAGCUGCCCGUCCGCAUCAUGGCGUAUGCAUCUUCCAGUAUGCAUCUUCUGGAAUCCAAGGUCAGAACAUUCAUCGGGACCCAUAAGACAUAUCCGAGAUGCUGAUUAAAUCAGUCACCAAUUUUUGAAAAUCGACAAUGUUUAUAUGGACAGCAAAGCUUGAUGUUGUAUUUUCCCCUUACUCUACCUUCUACCAUACACCACUGAACUUUUGCCUCCAGUGCAAUGAAUUAUACAUAUUGCACAUGCUUCAGAUUUGUAAUGCCCUUUCUGCUACAUAUACAAUACUAUUGAAGCUUUUGACUGCUCAUACUUUACUGGGGAGUGUAAUUAUGCAAACAUAAGUAUAUGAAGAAAGUAAUUAUGCCCGACUCUACUUGCAGAAGGUUGGACUCUACUACAUCGAGAAGAAGAAAUAUUAUAUGAAGUUCCAAAGUUACCUUUUUAUUUGUGAAAGUCUGAUGCAUCUCAAACUCGGUUUGCUUUGCUGCAGGAUGAUGAAGAGGAAAAGGGAAAGGGGGAGGAGCUCAAGGAAACAAAGAGGGGUGGAAUAAGGGAUAAACAAGGAUGGGAUGGGAGGCUUCCAAGCCAACGGCAAAACAGAAACAUGAUGCAAGUGGUUGCCUCAUUGUUAGAUGCAUGCUGAUGUAUAUUUUUACGUGUCUCUUCUCUAUAGAAACAUAAGCAAGUAUCAUUAUACUGCUUGAGAAGACCAAAGCAUGGGAGAUUGUGGUUUCCAAAUCAGAGAAUUGUGGUUUUGAAGUUGUUGGUAAAAGGUAAUUCAUAUAGGCCAAGACGUUCUCAAUAUGCCGCAUCGGGAACAUCUAUGAAGAGAUUAACCAUCUGAAGACUUGGUUACCUGGUUUUAUUUUAAAGGAAGUUGUGUGUGAGGGAAGGAGAGCAAUAAAUUUGUGCAUGAACUAACAGUGUUGGUAAGAAUUUAGGUGAAUACACUGAUCUUGUUAGUUAGCUAUUUGUAACUAACAUCAUACACUAUUUUUAUGAUGACCAAUAGAUUGUUGUUUCCAUCAAAAGAUAAAAUAUUCCAGGAAUGGCACGUUGUUUAUAACUUUUCGAUUCAUUGAAGCCUCAGCGAGGUCGGAGGAGACGAGGGCAUUUUAUUCCGGGUGGUGUCGGAGGAUGUGGGGAGCAAACCGCCGCACCCAAGAGAGUAGAAAAGGGUCGGUUGUCCCUCAAACUCAUUCCACAUAUGGGGAAGAAAUGAGGCUGUUCAAGGCUUCAGGCAGUCUGCUACAUCGGCUCACCUCAGACCAAGUUUUUUCUUUCUUUAUUCUCUCUCUCCAUCCCAACCAAUUAUAUGCAUGUGACUGAUAAUUUGGGGGACCUGGCCGCAUGGAUAGACAAAUGAUGUUCAAAGUGGACACGUUCAGACAUUGUUCGGAUGUGCCAGCUGACAUACAGGGGGUGGGUCAUAUUUUCAUAGUCCAAUUGUAGAUGCUUUUAUCCGUUUAGUAGGAGAGGUUAGGAUAGAUCAAACCACAACUUUUUAACGAUACGUGCAACGCACGUGCACGCUUACUAGUUUUUUGGAAAUCAUCAUUUUUUCAUUUUUGUACAGGUCG